rnacentral:rRNA from 1 species
AAUGAACGCUGGCGGCGUGGAUUAGGCAUGCAAGUCGAACGCGAAAGUUCCCUUCGGGGAGCGAGUAGAGUGGCGAAAGGGUGAGUAAUGCUUGGAUGACCUGCCCUCGAGACGGGGACAACAGUUCGAAAGGACUGCUAAUACCCGAUAGUCCGGUUUAGAUGCGUCUAGAUCGGUAAAUGGUGCUUCCGCUCGAGGAGGGGUUCAAGUCCUAUCAGCUUGUUGGUGAGGUAACGGCUCACCAAGGCGAUGACGGGUAGCCGGACUGAGAGGUUGGCCGGCCACAUGGGAACUGAGACACUGUCCUGACUCCUACGGGAGGCUGCAGUCGAGAAUCUUCUGCAAUGGGCGAAAGCCUGACAGAGCGACGCCGCGUGGAGGAUGAAGGCCCUCGGGUCGUAAACUACCUGUCACAUGUUGUGAAACGCACAGGUCUACCUGUGCGCUGACAAAAGACAUGAGAGGAAGUCACGGCUAACUUCGUGCC